rnacentral:ncRNA from 2 species
GGGCAGUCAUAUGACUGACGGAACUGUGGAAUUGACCACAUGAAGUAUGACCUUACCAAGCCGACCGUCUGGGCAUUUUUG